UACAGAGGAGCCAAGCGUUGUCCGGAUUGACUGGGCGUAAAGCGCACGCAGGCGGACGCGCGCGUGGGGUGUGAAAUCUGGCCGCUUAACGGCCAGGCGCCAUCCCAUACGGCGGGUCUGGAGUGAUGCAGAGGUCGAUGGAAUUGCCGGUGUAGUGGUGAAAUGCGUAGAGAUCGGCAGGAACACCCAGGGGGAAACCAGUCGACUGGGCAUCUACGUGACGCUGAGGUGCGAGAGCGUGGGGAGCGGAACCGG
rnacentral:rRNA from 1 species